rnacentral:rRNA from 1 species
UGGCGGCCGUAGCGCGGUGGUCCCACCUGACCCCAUGCCGAACUCAGAAGUGAAACGCCGUAGCGCCGAUGGUAGUGUGGGGGCUCCCCAUGCGAGAGUAGGGAACUGCCA